CCUACGGGGGGCAGCAGUGGGGAAUAUUGGACAAUGGGCGAAAGCCUGAUCCAGCAAUGCCGCGUGAGUGAUGAAGGCCUUCGGGUUGUAAAGCUCUUUUACCAGGGAUGAUAAUGACAGUACCUGGAGAAUAAGCUCCGGCUAACUCCGUUCCAGCAGCCGCGGUAAUGCGGAGGGAGCUAGCGUUGUUCGGAAUUACUGGGCGUAAAGCGCACGUAGGCGGUUUUUCAAGUCAGGGGUGAAAGCCCUGAGCUCAACUCCGGAAUUGCCGUUGAAACUGGAUGACUAGAAUCUUGGAGAGGUCAGUGGAAUUCCGAGUGUAGAGGUGAAAUGCGUAGAUAUUAGGAAGAACACCAGUGGCGAAGGCGACUGACUGGACAAGUAUUGACGCUGAGGUGCGAAAGCGUGGGGAGCAAACAGGAUUAGAUACCCCGGUAGUC
rnacentral:rRNA from 1 species